rnacentral:misc_RNA from 1 species
AAUCUUCCAAGGCGUUUAAAGCACAAAAGUCUGGGAUGAUCCAAUAGCGAGGUGAAUCUCGGUGGAAGUUCCACGAUGGGAUUUCCCUGGGACGGAAACCGCGAGAACGAAUGCCGGGCACGAUCCACGAGGCCGCAUCAUUCACCGACAGAUCGACUGUGGCUGCUCGUCCCCCGUCUCAGCCAUUGGGAAAAAUCACAAGCGUCUGCGUUCUCCGCGUCGGAAUAUUCCACCGGAAUCGAAAAUAUCUUAAGGAACUCGUCGACGACGGAUUCGUUAGAGUCGAUCGAAUGUCGAAUUCAACGGCUUUUCCUUUGGGUAUUACAUUGUUCGACAGACGCGAGGAAAGAAUGCUUAUGAACGUUUGAAUUUCCUCGCAAGUGAAUGAACUUUAUAUGAUCGUAGAAAAGUUGUAAGCGGAGCAAGUGGUAAAUGCU